CUUUUUUUUUUUUUUUUUUUUUUAAUGGCCAUAACCAUGGCAUAUGGAGGUUCCCAGGCUAGGGGUCCCAAUUGGAGCUGUAGCCACUGGCCUAUGCCACAGCCACAACAAUGCAGGAUCCAAGCCGCAUCUGUGACCUACAUCACACCUCACAGCAAUGCUGGAUCCUUAACCCACUGAGCGAGGCCAGAGAUUGAACCCGCAUCCUCAUGGAUGCUAGUCAGGUACGUUAACCACUGAGCCAUGAUGGGAACUCCUCUCUUUCCUUCUUUAUCUACAAUUAUUAGAACCUGACUUAGCUCUGUUGUCAUCUAGUUUGUAAUUGAACAUAGGCUUUUGGUCCCAGUUCCCAUACCUAUUAAUUUUCUAACUGCAUCAUAAUUAUUCUGAGUUCUUAUACUGUUCUACUGAAUAAGAUCAAACAAGUAGCUUGACUCACUCUGCUCCAGCUAUGAGGAAGGAGCCAUCUGGGAGAUGGGCCUCAAAACAGUAAAUGCAAGUCCUCAAUUAACAGAGUCGUAAUUUAAUAUCCAUUGAAAUAGUUUCUUCCUCUCUAAAAAUACCCUCAUUUUAAAAUCAAACAGGAGUUCCCAUUGUGGCUUAGCAGAAAUGAACCUGACUAGCAUCCAGGAGGAUGCAGGGUAGAUCCCUGGCUUUGCUCAAUGGGUUAAGGAUCAGGCAUUGCCAUGAGGUGUGGUAUAUGUCACAGAUGUGGCUUGGAUCCCACAUCUGUGGCCGUGGGGUAGGCCGGCAGUUGUGAGUCUGAUUCAACCCUUAGCCUGGGAAACACCAUAUGCCACAGGUUAGGCCUGAAAAGCAAACAAACAAACAAAAAAUAAUUCCUUCUCUUGUUAAUGUCAUGUGUUAAUUUUAUAAUCAAUCCAGCCAUAAGAACUCAAAAAGAGAAAGAGAGAAAUUUCCCUUUCUGUGCUAUUAUAAAGCAAGUUUUAAUAUACUUUAAAGGGAUAAAAUAAUUCAAAGUAUUUUUUACCAUCCAUAGUGGAAUUAAGAUAGAUGCUGAUAAUGAAAGAAUAAUUUAAUAAUGCAUGUAUUUGAGGUACCAAAAGACUACUAGAGCUCAUCAAUGAUUGGUAAAGUUGCAGGAUACAAAAUUAAUGCACAGAAAUCUGUUGUAUUUCACACACUAAGAGUGAGCUAUCGGAAAGAGAAAUUAAGAAAACAAUUUCGUUUACUGUCGUAUAAAAAGAAAUAAAAUAACUAGGAAUAAAUUUAACUAAGGAGGUAAAGAUCUAUACCCGGAAAACUCUAAGACACUGAUGAAAGAAUCUGAACAGAAGGAAAAUAUACUUUGUUCAUAGAUUGGAAAAAUUAAGAUUGUCUAAAAUGAAAAUACCACCCAAGGCAAUCCACAGAUUCAAUGCAAUACUCAUCAAGAUAGCACAGACUAGAACAAAUAAUACUAAAAAUUGUAAGAAAACACGAAAGACCCCAAAUAGCCAAAACAAUCUUGAGAAAGAACAAAGCUAGAGGUGUCAUGUUGUCUGUUUUCAAACUGUUACAAAUCUAUAGUAAACAAAACAGUAUGGCACUGGCACAAAAACAUAUACAUAUAGAUCAGUGGAACAGAGUAGAGAGUCGAGAAAUGAACCCACACUUAAGUGGGCAAUUAUCUGUGACAAAGGAUGCAAGAAUAUAUAAUGAGGAAACGACAUUCUCUUUAACAUACAGUGUUGAGAAAACUGGACAAUUACAUUCAAAAGAAUAAAACUGGACUAUUGUCUCACACUAUUCACAAGAAUAGAUUAAAAAUGGAUUCAAGACUUAAGUGUAAGACCUGACACCAUAAAACUUAUAGAAGAAAACAUGGAUUUUAAACUUGGAGUAGAGUUUCUCUGGCUGAAUGUUCACUUCUUUCUCUGGCAGCCACCUCAUUCUUUUUAAUAGUUCUUAUUUUCCUUGAUUAAAUAAACAAGUAUCCAUUUGCCUCGCAACUGACAUACUACUAGUAAAAUUUCUUCAGGGUCUUUAAAAAAAAUAUAUGUGCAAAACCCAGUCUAUUCUGCUGUGGCAAGGGCCUUCUGAACAAAAAGCUGCUCUUCUUUCACUACCUAUAUUUAACUACCUUGACAUUUCUAUUUGCUGAGAAAAUCUUAACCUCAAACAUUUGCAGUUGUUCUUAAAAAAAAAAAAAAAGUCAGAUCUGAAACAGUUAACUGUGGUUUUAGCUCACGGAUGAAAACUGGAGACAAAAUGCAUGAGACCAACAUUGUAGAGAAAGACUUUUUUCCAACUGAACUGAGUGUAAAUCCAGGUAAGAAGUUGGACUGCAUGGAGUGAGUGUGGGAAGCGGGGUAGUAAGGUGAUGGAAUGGUCAACAGGAUGAGAGAUGGAGUUCUGGAGGUCAUAAAUUGGUUUAUAAUUUAUAAACCUAUAAAAUAUAAGCAGAUAUUGAAAUUCUUGUCCUAGCAAGUAAGGAGAGGGAAUUAUUAAGAGAAAGAUGUAAGAGAAAGGAAUUGGGUUAAAUUUAUGAUGGAGAAUGAAAUGAUUAACUUCACUGAGGAAAAAAACAUACUGUAAAGUGUUGCACAGAUGCAUAUUAUUAUUAUUAAAUAAGGUAGAAAACCUAUCAUGGAAGCUUAUAGGAGAGGAAAUAUUAAAAGGUAAGUAAAAGAUAUUUUCAAAUUUAAAAAGUGAGCAAGGAGUUCACUUCUGGCACAGUGGGUUAAGGACCCAGUGUUUUCACUAUAGUGGCUUGGGUCACUGCUGUGGCACAGAUUUAAUCACAGGCUCACUGGCACAGGAACUUCCACAUGCUGCAGGAGCAGCCAAAAAAAAAAGAAAGUGAACAAGUAAAAACUUAGUAGAGUGCUCAAAUGAAAUAUAUUACAUUGGAUGCACCGUAAAAAGAAAAAUUAUAUAUAAACUAUAUAAUAUCACAUAUUACAUAUUUAUAUAUGAAUUUAAAAUUUAAAAAAUUGUGUGAUGAUUUAAGUGAAAAAUGGUUUUUACUAAUUAUGGGAAAAAAGUCAUAAUUUAAGUCAGAAGAAUUUCUUUAUCUUUGAUAAAAGUAGAAAUCAAUCAACUCAGAGAGAAGGUAAUUCAGAUGAGGAAAGAUGAUUUCUAAUUCUUGUUAAAUGAUUUCAUUUAUUUCUUCAUUCAUUUUGUAUUUUGAGUAUAUUUAUAAUAGCUGCUUAUAAUAUUUGCCAAAUAUUUCCAACAUCUGUGUCACCUUGGUGUGGUUUCUACUGCUUGUCUUUCCCCACGCAAGUUAAGCUUUUCAUGACUAUUCAUAUGCUGUAUAAUUUUGGAUUGUAUUUUGGACAUUUUGAAUAAAUAUUUUGUAUGAGAUUCUUUACAUUGUUUAAAUCUUUGGAGCACAGGAAUAUUUUUGAUUUUAGCAGGCAAUCACUCUGGCUAGCUUCAGACCUUUUGUAGGCUCUGGUUCCAAUGUCAGCUCAGUUUUUAGAGCCUUUGUAGUGUUAUUCAGAUAUUGCUUUUUUUCUCUUCUUUCUUUUUUAAAUAAAUUUUUAUUUACAGUGUUGUAUUAGUUUCAGGUGUACAGUGAAAUGAAUCCGUUAUACAUAUACAUAUAUCCAUACUUUUUUCCAUAAAUUGGAAAAAAGUUAUUACGGAACGUUGAGUAGAACUUCCUGUGCUACUCAGUAGGUCCUUGUUAGUUAUCUAUCUAUUUUAUAUUAGUACUGUAUAUGUGUUAAUCCCAUCCUCUCAAUAUAUCUCUCCCCACCACGGUUCCCCUUGGGGUCACCCUAGGUUUGAUUUCAAAAUCUGUGUUUGUUUCUGUUUCAUAAAUACAUCCUUUUGUGUCAUUUUUACUACAUUCCAUAUAUAAUUGAUAUCAUAUGAUAUUUGUCUUUGUCUGACUUACUUCACUUAGUAGAUAUUUCUUGCAAGUGCAUCAACCAGUGGCCAAUCUGAAAUUUGGGCAAUGUUCCAUUGUGAAGAGUUUAUGUUUCAUGUCUUUGGUACCUUAAUUGGGGUAAGGUGUAAGUAUGCACAGCUUGUAUGUGUGUAUGUGUUUAUGUCUGUUUGGGGGUGGUGGGGAGUCCAGAAGUUUACUAAUAAGAUUCAGAGUUGUCUUUACAAAGUUCCUUCCUCUUCAUUCAUUUACCUCUGAGUCCAUGUACCUGUUUUAACUAGCUAGAUUCCUGCUAGAUUAGCAUGGACAUAGGUCUGAGGAGUUCUUAUUAAUUAUGCUAUUAGAUACCACUAAAUUGUUUUGUAUAAAAGAAUUAUAUCUUUUGCGAAAAUCCUUGUGUAAAUAUACUCAAAGCCAUGCUUCUUUUUUCUAGCCUCCAGCCAGAAAUUUGUGACUGUAAUUUCCUCACUCUACUAUGGACUUCUCAAUGGUGGCUGCAUCUGUAAGACAGUGAAGCAGGAGGAAAGAGAGCAAGGAGGAAAGAAAAAGCAAAGGGUUUGGUCCACCUUCUUAGAAUCACAGCUGUAUCAAAUGGAGAGGAUGGUUCACCUCCCUCAGGAUUUCAGCUAUUAGGUGUCAUAGUUGCCACAGCCCUGCCAUCUUGAGAUUGCCUGAGGUCUGAGGCAUACCAGAAGAGAAUGGAGUAUUUUCAUAUUCUCCCUCUGUGUUAGGAGCUCAUUUUCCUACUCAAACCAGAGCUAGACUGCCUCUCCUGGAGCUCUCUCUGUCUCUGCCCUAAGGGAUGCUCAAUACAGGUUUCUAGGUAUGUUGUAUUCUGGGUACUGAUACUGCAGGUUGGAGGAGAUGUAAAUUCAACACUGGUUGAUUUGGUGGUAACUUGAAUUCUGGUGUUCUCAAUAUGAUUCCUUCUACUAGAUAGUUUUUCUUUUAUUUAUUUGCUUUUUAGGCCCACACCUGAGGCAUAUAUAAGUUCCCAAGCUAGGGGUGAAAUCAGAGCUACUGCUGCCAGCCUAUGCCACAGCCAUAGCAACUUGGAAUAUGAGCCACAUCUGCGAUCUACACCACAGCUCAUGGCAAUACCAGAUUCCCGGCCAACUGGGUGAGGCCAGGGAUAGAACCUGCAUCCUCAUGGAUACUGGUCAGACUCAUUUCCACUGUACCACAAUGGUAGCUCCUACUAGAUAGUUUUUAGAGUCUUUAAGUAGCUGUUGGAUGCAUUCUGUCCAGAUUUGAUAUUUACAUUUAGUAGGGGAGACACUAUGUGGUGUGCUAAUUCCACUUACAUUGAACCAUAAUCACCCAUUUGUUGGGUGUUUGUUGAAUACUUUCUAUUCAUAGGCACUGACCUAGAUUCUGGUGGUACAAUGGCAAGCAAAAAGACAAGGCUCUGUCCCAGAUGAAGCUUACCAUUAAAUGACAAAAGAUUUUUAUUAAUCAUCCUUCCUUUUUUAACACAACUUUUUUUGCCUUUGGCCUUUUUCAAAUCAGUGCCCACCUCCCAAUAAGGUUUUUUGAUUGGUCUAUCCUCUUCUACUCAGAAAUACUCAUGGAUAUCUAAAUUUUAUAGUUGAGACCUAACCUGAGACUUCUAUUCUGUUCUGUAAGGUAUAUAAAUUUAUCAUCACGACCUAACAGAGAAAACUACCUUCUAAAAGACUUCAAAGACUUCAGAUGUCCGGUAGGAAAUAAGAGGCAUAGAAAUCAUUGCUCCCAUCUAUACAGGAAAAAAAAAAGGCUGAAAAAACUAAAAAUCAACAUUAUCUCCUUAAAUCAAUCAGAGAAUCAGAGAGCUGUGGUUACAUGGAAAACAACUGCCCUCAUGGGAAUUCCUGUCAUGGCUCAGUGGUUAAUGAAUCCGACUAGGAACCAUAACAUUGCAAGUUCAGUCCUUAGCCUUGCUCAGUGGGUUAAGGAUCUGGCAUUGUCAUGAGCUGUGGUGUAGGUCACAGACGCUGCUCGGAUCCCACAUUGCUGUGGCUCUGGCAUAGGCUGGUGGCUACAACUCUGAUUAGACCCCUAGCCUGGGAACCUCCAUAUGCUGUGGUGCAGCCCUAGAAAAGACAAAAAACAAAAAACAAAAA
rnacentral:lncRNA from 1 species